UUGAACGCUGGCGGCAUGCCUUACACAUGCAAGUCGAACGGCAGCACGGGGGCAACCCUGGUGGCGAGUGGCGAACGGGUGAGUAAUACAUCGGAACGUGCCCUGAAGUGGGGGAUAACGUAGCGAAAGUUACGCUAAUACCGCAUAUUCUGUGAGCAGGAAAGCAGGGGAUCGCAAGACCUUGCGCUUUAGGAGCGGCCGAUGUCGGAUUAGCUAGUUGGUGAGGUAAAGGCUCACCAAGGCGACGAUCCGUAGCGGGUCUGAGAGGAUGAUCCGCCACACUGGGACUGAGACACGGCCCAGACUCCUACGGGAGGCAGCAGCGGGGAAUUUUGGACAAUGGGCGCAAGCCUGAUCCAGCCAUGCCGCGUGAGUGAAGAAGGCCUUCGGGUUGUAAAGUUCUUUUGUCAGGGAAGAAAGUUUCUGUGCUAAUACCAUAGAACGAUGACGGUACCUGAAGAAUAAGCACCGGCUAACUACGU
rnacentral:rRNA from 1 species